rnacentral:lncRNA from 1 species
NNNNNNNNNNNNNNNNNNNNNNNNNNNNNNNNNNNNNNNNNNNACAUGGGACCCGCGAAGCCUGGCCGCGGGCGCCGCGUCACCGGGGGGUCCCGGGGCGCCCAUGACCUCGGGGUGCCCUUGUCCCCAGGGUUCCUGGUGUCCCCAAGGUGCCCACAUCCCCGGGGUGCCCUUGUCCCCAGAGUUUCCGGUGUCCCCAAGGUGCCCAUGUGCUCGGGGUGCCCCUUGCGCCCCAUGUCCCCAGGGUUCCUGCUGUCCCCAGGGAUCCCGGUGUCCCCAGGGUGCCCAUGUACUCGUCUCGCUGGUGUCCCUGGGGCGCCCAUGUGUCCAGUGUGCCUGCUGCUCCUGGUGUCCUGGUUCCUGGUGUCCCCCUAGGUGCCCACGUGCCCGGGGUACCUGCAUCCCCAGGGUGCCCGUGUCCCCAGUAUCCCUGGUGUCCCCAGGGUGCUCAUUGUCCCUGGGGUGCACAAGUGCUCGGUGUCUCCAGGGUGCCCAGGGUCCCCAGGGUUCCCAGUAUCCCCAGUGUCUCCGGGGUGCCUGGUGUCCCUGGGGUCCCCAUGUCCCUGGUGUUCCCAGGGUGCCCAGUGUCCCCGGGGUGCCUGGUGUCCCCGGUGUCCCCAGCUCACCGGCGGGGCAGGAGCAGCUGAAGCCGUUGACGCCGUCGUGGCAGCGGCCACCGUUGACACAGGGGCUGCUCUGGCACUCGUCCACGUCGAGCUCGCAGAAGGUGCCGCUGAACCCUGCGGGCCACCCGCGUCACCCGUGGUGCCACCCCCAAGGUGCCACCGUGCCGCGGCCACCCCCACGGUGCCACCCUGCAAUGCCACCCCAGUGGUGUCACCCCCAAGCAACUCGUUGUGCAUCAGGGUGUCYCCAAGCCAAGGGGUGCCCCGGGGGAGGCAGGGAUGGCGCCAGUGGCCCUGCCAGCACAGGGGACCGGGGCAGGGACGGUGCCAGGGCCAGGGGAUGGUGGCAGUCCCAUACCAGCUCCCAUGCCAGGACAUGGGACCAUGCCAAGUCCCAUGUCAAGGACAGGAGAUGGUGGCAGCCCCGUGCCAGCUCUCCUGCCAGGACAAGGGACCAUGCCAGGUCCCAUACCAGGGCCAGGGGACAGUGAUAGUCCUGUGCCAGCUCCCCUACCAAGACAG